rnacentral:siRNA from 1 species
ACCCUUUACAAACGUGAGAAGGAA